rnacentral:rRNA from 1 species
UGAGACCAAAAUACAACUAAGCUGUCAUAAGCAUAAGCUGUACCUAAGACCUCUCUUAAAAUGAUCUCAGCACCCUGCGACUUAUUAAACCCCACGAAAGCUAAGACCCAAACUGGGAUUAGAUACCCCACUAUGCUUAGCCCUAAAUUUUGAUGCUUUUUCCCCACUAAAGCAUCCGCCCGAGGACUACGAGCACAAACGCUUAAAACUCUAAGGACUUGGCGGUGCCCCAAACCCACCUAGAGGAGCCUGUUCUGUAAUCGAUAAUCCACGAUACACCCGACCGUCCCUUGCCAAAGCAGCCUACAUACCGCCGUCGCCAGUUCACCUACUUUGAAAGUGUAACAGUGAACACAAUAGUAAAAUAAUCCACUAGCAAGGCAGGUCGAGGUAUAGCCCAUGGGACGGAAGAAAUGGGCUACAUUUUCUAGAAUAGAAAAUUUAACGGAAGGGGACAUGAAAUGAUCCCCAGAAGGCGGAUUUAGCAGUAAAGUGAGACAAUAGAGCUUACUUAAAGCUGGCUCUGGGGCACGUACAUACCGCCCGUCACCCUCC